GACUCUCGGCAACGGAUAUCUUGGCUCUCGCAUCGAUGAAGAACGUAGCGAAAUGCGAUACUUGGUGUGAAUUGCAGAAUCCCGUGAAUCAUCGAGUCUUUGAACGCAAGUUGCGCCCUAGGCCGUCAGGCCGAGGGCACGCCUGCCUGGGCGUCACGCACCGAGUCGCCCCCCUCCCCCUCGGGGAGAAGGGAGCGGACAAUGGCUCCCCGUGCCCUGUGUGCGGCCAGCCCAAACCUAGGCCCCGGGAGGCCGGCGUCACGAUCCGUGGUGGUUGUAAAAGACACGCCCUAGAAACCGGAUCCGUGAACACCGUGCUGCACCCCGGAGUGCCACAGCGACCCCUCAAGGGCUGUCCUCGGACGGCACCCACUCU
rnacentral:misc_RNA from 1 species